AACGAACGCUGGCGGCAGGCUUAACACAUGCAAGUCGAGCGAGACCUUCGGGUCUAGCGGCGGACGGGUGAGUAACGCGUGGGAACGUGCCCUUCUCUACGGAAUAGCCCCGGGAAACUGGGAGUAAUACCGUAUACGCCCUUUGGGGGAAGGAUUUAUCGGAGAAGGAUCGGCCCGCGUUGGAUUAGGUAGUUGGUGGGGUAAUGGCCCACCAAGCCGACGAUCCAUAGCUGGUUUGAGAGGAUGAUCAGCCACACUGGGACUGAGACACGGCCCAGACCCCUACGGGAGGCGGGAGGGGGGAAUUUUAGACAAUGGGGGCAACCCUGAUCUACCCAUGCCGGGUGAGUGAUGAAGGCCUUGGGGUUGUAAAGCUCUUUCAGCUGGGAAGAAAAUGACGGAACCAGCAGAAGAAGCCCCGGCUAACUCCGU
rnacentral:rRNA from 1 species